rnacentral:rRNA from 1 species
GAUGAACGCGAGCGGCAGGCCUAACACAUGCAAGUCGAGGGGUAGAGGAAGCUUGCUUCCUUGAGACCGGCGCACGGGUGCGUAACGCGUAUGCAAUCUACCUUUUACAGAGGGAUAGACCAGAGAAAUUUGGAUUAAUACCUCAUAGUAUCUUUGCCUGGCAUCGGGUGAUUAUUAAAGUUCCAACGGUAAAAGAUGGGCAUGCGUCCUAUUAGCUAGAUGGUAAGGUAACGGCUUACCAUGGCAACGAUAGGUAGGGGUCCUGAGAGGGAUAUCCCCCACACUGGAAAUGAGACACGGACCAGACUCCUACGGGAGGCAGCAGUGAGGAAUGUUGGACAUGGGGCGCAAGCCUGAUCCAGCCAUGCCGCGUGCAGGAAGACGGUCCUAUGGAUUGUAAACUGCUUUUGUACGGGAAGAAACACUGCUACGUGUAGGAGCUUGACGGUACCGUAAGAAUAAGGAUCGGCUAACUCCGUGCCAGCCGCCGCGGUAACAC